ACUCCUACGGGAGGCAGCAGUGGGGAAUAUUGCACAAUGGGCGCAAGCCUGAUGCAGCAACGCCGCGUGAGUGAUGAAGGCCUUCGGGUCGUAAAGCUCUGUCUCAAGGAAGAAAUAAAUGACGGUACUUGAGGAGGAACGCCCGGCUAACUACGUGCCAGCAGCCGCGGUAAUACGUAGGGGCAAGCGUUAUCCGGAAUCACUGGGCGUAAAGGGUGCGUAGGCGGUUUUUCAAGUCAGAAGUGAAAGGCUAUGGCUCAACCAUAGUAAGCUUUUGAAACUGUUAAACUUGAGUGCAGGAGAGGAAAGUGGAAUUCCUAGUGUAGAGGUGAAAUUCGUAGAUAUUAGGAGGAACACCAGUGGCGAAGGCGACUUUCUGGACUGUAACUGACGCUGAGGCACGAAAGCGUGGGAGCGAACAGGAUUAGAU
rnacentral:rRNA from 1 species